CGCCAAUCUGUAGAGCUGACUAGCUCUACUUUCUAUAGGUACGCCAAUCUGUAGAGAGCCGACUAGCUCUUUCUAUAGGUACGCCAAUCUGUAGAGAGCUCUGAAGUAAUCGACAAGUCUGUAUGGCACCAUAUACACACGCACAGUCCACUCCUUUACGAACUCAACCUGUGAAUGAUUAAGCAUCCAUUUACAAUUUUCACAAAACAUUUCUAUUAUUUGAGUGUUUUCUGUCGCUUGUAUAUGGACUCUAUCCAUAGAUCUUCUCUAGAUUGUUAUGAAACGGGGUCCACUUUGUCAAAAUAAUAAAGUCACGAACAUCAGACCUGGC
ensembl:lncRNA